GAACUCCGCUUAUUGAUAUGCUCCUCCGCUUAUUGAGUAUGUAUCCGUCCGCUGUAUCUGAUCUGCUCCUCCGCUUAUAUAAAAAGUUMCUACGYYUAUAGUGUGGACCAACUCCGCCACUAACUGUGAGGAGCUACGUUGCCGURGGCUCCCAACACUAAGCAACUAAGGCUUAAGGGUCGAAAUGACGCUCGAACGGUCCUGCCCACUAGAAUACUAAUGGGCGCAAUAUGCGUUCAAAGAUUCGAUGAUUCACUGAAUUCUGCAAUUCACAUUACUUAUCGCAUUUCGCUGCGUUCUUCAUCGAUGCCAGAACCAAGAGAUCCGUUGUUGAAAGUUUUAACUUAUUUAGUUAUAGGUUCAGAAUUCAAUAUCAAACAGAGUUUGGUGGGCCGCCGGCAGGCUUACCCGCACCUCCCGGGUAAGUCUUACAGGGUAAGACUACGAGGUAGGCGCGACCUGCCGAGGCAACGUUAGGUAUGUUCACAUGGGUUUGGGAGUUAUAGAACUCUUUAAUGAUCCCUCCGCAGGUUCACCUACGGAAGGA
rnacentral:rRNA from 1 species